rnacentral:rRNA from 1 species
CAGCAGCCGCGGUAAUACAGAGGGUGCAAGCGUUAAUCGGAAUUACUGGGCGUAAAGCGCGCGUAGGUGGUUCGCCAAGUUGGAUGUGAAAUCCCCGGGCUCAACCUGGUAACUGCAUCCAAAACUGGCGAGCUAGAGUAUGGUAGAGGGUGGUGGAAUUUCCUGUGUAGCGGUGAAAUGCGUAGAUAUAGGAAGGAACAUCAGUGGCGAAGGCGACCACCUGGACUGAUACUGACACUGAGGUGCGAAAGCGUGGGGAGCAAACAGGAUUAGAUACCCCGGUAGUCCCUGUCUCUUAUCC